CCUGGUGUCUAUGGUGCGGUGGAACCACACUGAUCCCUUCCCGAACUCAGAGGUGAAACGCUGUUGCGGCGACGAUAGUAUGGGGGUUGCCCUAUGUCAAAAUAGCUCGAUGCCAGGU
rfam:Raphidiopsis brookii D9 D9_1146, whole genome shotgun sequence.